UACGGAGGGGGCUAGCGUUGUUCGGAAUUACUGGGCGUAAAGCGCACGUAGGCGGCUUUGCAAGUUAGAGGUGAAAGCCCAGGGCUUAACCCUGGAAUUGCCUUUAAGACUGCAUCGCUAGAAUCGUGGAGAGGUGAGUGGAAUUCCGAGUGUAGAGGUGAAAUUCGUAGAUAUUCGGAAGAACACCAGUGGCGAAGGCGACUUACUGGACACAUAUUGACGCUGAGGUGCGAAAGCGUGGGGAGCAAACAGG
rnacentral:rRNA from 1 species